UACGUAGGGGGCUAGCGUUGUCCGGAAUCAUUGGGCGUAAAGAGCGUGUAGGCGGCUCGGUAAGUCCGCUGUGAAAGUCGGGGGCUCAACCCUCGAAUGCCGGUGGAUACUGUCGGGCUAGAGUCCGGAAGGGGCGAGUGGAAUUCCUGGUGUAGCGGUGAAAUGCGCAGAUAUCAGGAAGAACACCAAUGGCGAAGGCAGCUCUCUGGGACGGUACUGACGCUGAGACGCGAAAGCGUGGGGAGCGAACAGG
rnacentral:rRNA from 1 species